rnacentral:snRNA from 1 species
GCUGCUGCUGCAACACAUAACAAAACUGAAUUGAUAAAGUGAUGAUCAGUAUUACACCUGCACAAGGAUGAGGCUGAAACCAGAGCACCAGUCUGAUUUGUG